rnacentral:misc_RNA from 1 species
UCCGGUUUGUCACCGGCAGUCUCAUUAGAGUGCCCAACUAAAUGUAGCAACUAAUGACAAGGGUUGCGCUCGUUGCGGGACUUAACCCAACAUCUCACGACACGAGCUGACGACAGCCAUGCAGCACCUGUGUUCCGAUUCCCUUUCGGGCACGCCCGCCUCUCAGCGGGCUUCCGGACAUGUCAAGGGUAGGUAAGGUUGGGAUGACGUUGUCUACG